AUUGAACGCUGGCGGCAGGCCUAACACAUGCAAGUCGAGCGGAUGACGGGAGCUUGCUCCUUGAUUCAGCGGCGGACGGGUGAGUAAUGCCUAGGAAUCUGCCUGGUAGUGGGGGACAACGUUUCGAAAGGAACGCUAAUACCGCCUACGUCCGACGGGAGAAAGCAGGGGACCUUCGGGCCUUGCGCUAUCAGAUGAGCCUAGGUGGGUUUAGGUAGUAGGUGAGGUAAUGGCUGACCUAGGUGACGAUCCGUAACUGGUCUGAGAGGAUGAUCAGUCACACUGGAACUGAGACACGGUCCAGACUCCUACGGGAGGCAGCAGUGGGGAAUAUUGGACAAUGGGCGAAAGCCUGAUCCAGCCAUGCCGCGUGUGUGAAGAAGGUCUUCGGAUUGUAAAGCACUUUAAGUUGGGAGGAAGGGCAGUAAGUUAAUACCUUGCUGUUUUGACGUUACCGACAGAAUAAGCACCGGCUAACUCUGUGCCAGCCGCCGCCGUAA
rnacentral:rRNA from 1 species